rnacentral:rRNA from 1 species
AUUCAACGCUGGCGGCAUGCUUUACACAUGCAAGUCGAACGGUAACAGGCCGCAAGGUGCUGACGAGUGGCGAACGGGUGAGUAAUGCAUCGGAACGUGCCCAGUCGUGGGGGAUAACUACUCGAAAGAGUAGCUAAUACCGCAUACGAUCUAUGGAUGAAAGCGGGGGACCGUAAGGCCUCGCGCGAUUGGAGCGGCCGAUGUCAGAUUAGGUAGUUGGUGGGGUAAAGGCUCACCAAGCCAACGAUCUGUAGCUGGUCUGAGAGGACGACCAGCCACACUGGGACUGAGACACGGCCCAGACUCCUACGGGAGGCAGCAGUGGGGAAUUUUGGACAAUGGGCGCAAGCCUGAUCCAGCAAUGCCGCGUGCAGGAAGAAGGCCUUCGGGUUGUAAACUGCUUUUGUACGGAACGAAACGGCUCUGGUUAAUACCCGGGGCUAAUGACGGUACCGUAAGAAUAAGCACCGGCUAACUACGUG